CGUGCAGCCUUUAAUUUGAGAUCAAGAGGUUGUCUGCUUAAGAAACAACAUGAUUCCAUAGAUGUAGUACAAGGAAUUGUGCUGCCUCCUUUCAAAAAGACCUGAGGAGAAAAGACAAGAAAGACCACAUCUUGGUUCUCAAUGCAGCUGACAAGACAGAUAUUAAUCCAUGACUUUGAAUUCUAAAAUCGAAAGUACUUCUUGGAGACUUACUUGGUGUCUAGUGGUAGCCCCCUCCUCAAAGAGCUCACAGCUACAUGAAGAGACAGGAAAUAAGAACCUAUGGCAAGAAUGAACAGGACUCAUGGAGUAGAACCCUUCAAGCAACUUUAUUUUUGUCCCCAUCUCUUCCUUUAAACCUGUUCAAUGAUAACUGAACUGGAUGAAAACUCAGAGCCCUACUGCUUUCUUAUUUACUUUCAG
rnacentral:lncRNA from 10 species